UGACUAAGAAAGUAGUUAUUACGGUGGACUCAAUUCAACUUUCGUCUUGCUUGCUUACUACACCUCAAAUGUUCGUUUUCUAGAGCUAUCCGGCUACGUUUAGAACAAUAUACUUUACAAAAUAAUAAAAAAGAGCAAUAAGCUGUAGACGUUGAUAUUUGCUACCUUAUAUUAUAUGUACAAAUAUCUAUGCAGUGUCACCC
rnacentral:lncRNA from 1 species